rnacentral:lncRNA from 1 species
AUCCAUCCACUCAUUCAUUUAUCCAUUCAUUCACCCAUCCAUCCAUCCAUCCAUCCACCUGCCUACCCAUCCACCACUACCCACCCAACCAUCCAUCCACCCACCCAUAUACUCAUUUAACCAUCCAUCCAUCUAUCCACUCAUUCAUCCAUCAGUCCACUCAUCCAUCCAUCCGUCCACUCAUCAGUGUAUCCCUUCAUUCAUCCAUCCAUCCAUCCAUCCAUCCAUAACCCCUCUUCUGGGAGGCUGUCCCUGACACGGCCCUUCAAGCCACUGGAGCCCGACUCCCCACCAGGCUGGGAUAGGCCAGCGUCUGUCUCCUCCACUGGACCGGACGCAAUGGUAAAGGCAUGUGCUGUCUUGGUGAGUUGUGGGGUGGGGCCUGAAUCUGCUUUUGUAGCAACUCCCGGCUGAGGCAGCAGCUGGGGGUGCUUGGGCCCCACUUUGAGGUGCGGGGGCUGGAGCUUGGCACCCAGCCAGGGCUCUGUUGGAUACGGGUGUGUGGAUUAAUGGAUGAACAUCUGCAUCUCUGGUCUGGGAACUGAAAUGAGGAGACAGCAGGCCCAGGUUACUCCAAAGUAAAGGGCAGGUGCAAGGUGGGGACUUCUGCAGGCGUGGGGCACGGGCUGAGGGGCCACGGUGCCUCCAGGUCCCCCGUUUCGCUCGUGGUCUCCCUGGAGUGUGGCAGCCAGAUUUUAAUAAAGCCUUUUUGGUUUAUUGCACAUCAUAUAAAACUGACUGCACUGUAUUUAUGUGGGGCAGGAACCAGGAGGCCUGCGCAGGGCUGGGGUCAGGGAACCAGCCCCCUAAACCCACCUGGUUUUCCCACAGGUCAAACCCAGAAGGUGACGGGGGUUUUUGAAGAUUGGCCAUUAGGUCUCACUCGUGCCAACCCUCACGCCCACGGGCCAGAGGAUACAUGAGGCCACUGACCCCAUCGCAUCCAUCCGGUUAC